rnacentral:rRNA from 1 species
UACGUAGGGGGCAAGCGUUGUCCGGAAUCAUUGGGCGUAAAGCGCGUGUAGGCGGUCCGGUAAGUCCGCUGUGAAAGUCGGGGGCUCAACCCUCGGAUGCCGGUGGAUACUGUCGGGCUUGAGUACGGAAGAGGCGAGUGGAAUUCCUGGUGUAGCGGUGAAAUGCGCAGAUAUCAGGAGGAACGCCAAUUGCGAAGGCAGCUCGCUGGGACGUUACUGACGCUGAGACGCGAAAGCGUGGGGAGCAAACAGG